AUUGAACGCUGGCGGCAGGCCUAACACAUGCAAGUCGAGCGAGCGGCGGACGGGUGAGUAAUGUCGGGGGACUGCCCGAUAGAGGGGGAUAACUACUGGAAACGGUGGCUAAUACCGCAUACUGUCGGAUGACCCAUAUGGGAUUAGCUAGUAGGUAAGGGAAUGGCUUACCUAGGCGACGAUCCCUAGCUGGGCUGAGAGGAUGAUCAGCCACACUGGGACUGAGACACGGCCCAGACUCCUACGGAGGCAGCAGUGGGGAAUAUUGCACAAUGGGCGAAAGCCUGAUGCAGCCAUGCCGCGUGUAUGAAGAAGGCCCUAGGGUUGUAAAGUACUUUCAGUCGGGAGGCGUUACCGACAGAAGAAGCACCGGCUAACUCCGUGCCAGCAGCCGCGGUAAUUC
rnacentral:rRNA from 1 species